rnacentral:rRNA from 1 species
UACGUAGGGGCCUAGCGUUGUCCGGAUUUAUUGGGCGUAAAGAGCUCGUAGGCGGUUCGGUAAGUCAGGUGUGAAAUCUCCACGCUCAACGUGGAGGCGCCAACUGAAACUGCCGUGACUCGAGUCCGGUAGGGGAGUGUGGAAUUCCCGGUGUAGCGGUGAAAUGCGCAGAUAUCGGGAGGAACACCAAUGGCGAAGGCAGCACUCUGGGCCGGUACUGACGCUGAGGAGCGAAAGCGUGGGGAGCGAACAGG